CCUACGGGAGGCUGCAGUGGGGAAUAUUGCACAAUGGGCGCAAGCCUGAUGCAGCCAUGCCGCGUGUGUGAAGAAGGCCUUCGGGUUGUAAAGCACUUUCAGCGGGGAGGAAGGCGGUGAGGUUAAUAACCUCAUCGAUUGACGUUACCCGCAGAAGAAGCACCGGCUAACUCCGUGCCAGCAGCCGCGGUAAUACGGAGGGUGCAAGCGUUAAUCGGAAUUACUGGGCGUAAAGCGCACGCAGGCGGUCUGUCAAGUCGGAUGUGAAAUCCCCGGGCUCAACCUGGGAACUGCAUUCGAAACUGGCAGGCUAGAGUCUUGUAGAGGGGGGUAGAAUUCCAGGUGCAGCGGUGAAAUGCGUAGAGAUCUGGAGGAAUACCGGUGGCGAAGGCGGCCCCCUGGACAAAGACUGACGCUCAGGUGCGAAAGCGUGGGGAGCAAACAGGAUUAGAUACCCUAGUAGUC
rnacentral:rRNA from 1 species